rnacentral:rRNA from 1 species
GUUUGAUCCUGGCUCAGGAUGAACGCUGGCGGCGUGCUUAACACAUGCAAGUCGAACGAACCUUCGGGUUAGUGGCGGACGGGUGAGUAACGCGUGAGAAUCUGCCCUCAGGAGGGGGAUAACGGUUGGAAACGACCGCUAAUACCCCAUAUGCCGCGAGGUGAAAUGAAUUUCGCCUGAGGAUGAGCUCGCGUCUGAUUAGCUAGUUGGUGGGGUAAGAGCUUACCAAGGCAUCGAUCAGUAGCUGGUCUGAGAGGAUGAUCAGCCACACUGGGACUGAGACACGGCCCAGACUCCUACGGGAGGCAGCAGUGGGGAAUUUUCCGCAAUGGGCGAAAGCCUGACGGAGCAACGCCGCGUGAGGGAGGAAGGUUUUUGGAUUGUAAAA